AAAAAAAAGAUCUUUAUAAACAUGCAAGGGUCAUUUUAAUAACUUAAACUCACCUGUACAUGAUACCGUAAUUGCCUUUCUGGCAGGCCUUCCACCAACCCAGAAAGUUUGACAAAGGGGGUUAACUGUAGGACAUUUCGUCCUUCCCCGGCAGUGGAUGUACUGUUUUGAGCCCUGUGUGGAACUUCUGAACUUCGUGCUGUAACUUUCAGAACUCUUAGACAUGGGUGUGCUCACUGAACUCUAGGGUCUGUGUGCUAGAUGCUGCCAACGCUGUAUUCAGGACCUGAAGUGAGUACCCGUGUGGAUCCAGACCAAUCCAGUGUGAGACUACUGAAGAACAUCUGUUGCCAGAACGGCCACACCAAACAGAUGGAGUGCCCCAGCACUUAGCUUCUUAAAUAACAUCGGAACCAUUCAGCCAGCGAGUCUGUGUUUGCUUUUUGUUCAAAUUGUUCGCCGAAUCUAAAUUCCUCCAAAGGACUUGUGACUACUCUUAGCUCAUUGCUAAAGUGCUUGCUUACCGUGCCUCGGCCCGCCUUGGUUGGUUGUAAAAAUGGUAGGAGGGGGAAAACAAUUAUUUUAUAUAUAUGUUCAACAGAGAUUGAAUAUAUUAUCAAAUCUUUUUUUAAUUGUGCUUUAAAAUAAUUUAUAUGGAGAGCAACAACAGCAAACAGGUGCUAAUUUGUUUGGAUAUUAGUUAUAUAAGCAGUUCUCUAUCUUAAGACUGGGUCUCAAGUAACCCAGGCUGGCCUUGAACUCCUUAGGUAACUUGGGAUAGUUUUGAACUUCCGAUUCCCCUGCCUCCCCACCCCAGGGCUGUGAUUGCAGGUGUGCGCUUGGGACUGACCCCAGGCUUUGUCGGUGCUAGGGCAGCACUCUGCGACUGAAUUAGGUCCCAGCCACUUCUCUGUCUUUUAAAAGAACAAAACAUUGCUAAAUGUGCCAUUGUUGCUUUGAGUUUUAAUUCUUUUUUUUUCUUUCUUUCAUAAAACAUUACAGUCUUAAGAUAUUAAAGACCUUUAUUCUGGUUCUAUUUCUGUCUUUUCACUCAAAACUGGUUUUACAAAUGAUGCCUUGUUUACAGAAAGCUCUCUACCACAGGGCCUAGUCAUGUGUAAAGUCUCAGUUUCUCUCUGGAGUAUCUUGGAGCCUAGCACACUGGCUUUAAAGGACACAGCUAAGAAGCUGAUACCUUGACAGUGUUUGUAGACCUUUGUUAUAAAAAUGAAUGUCCUGGAAAGGGUUGGGAGGGAGUUCAACAACAAAGAAACAAGAAUGUCAUGUUUAAAUUUAAUAGUUGUCUAAAAUGUCAUCUCAAGUCAAGUCACUGGUCUGUUUGCAUUUGAUAGGUUUUUAUACUAACUAGCAUUAUAAGAUUAUUUCAAUUAGAAAAUACCUGUGGAUAUUUGUAUAAAAGUGUGAAAUAAAUUUUUUACAAAAGUGCUCAUCGCUUGUUAACACAGCAUCAUGUAUGUGAAAGCAAACUCUAAGAUUAUAAAUGACAACCUGAGUUGCCUUUCUUUGUAUUUCAUCAAGCCAAAGUAAAGCUUUCAAUAUUU
rnacentral:lncRNA from 1 species